rnacentral:rRNA from 1 species
UACGUAGGGUGCAAGCGUUGUCCGGAAUUAUUGGGCGUAAAGAGCGUGUAGGCGGCCCGAUUAGUCCGCUGUGAAAGUCCAGGGCUCAACCCUGGAAUGCCGGUGGAUACUGUCGGGCUAGAGUCCGGAAGGGGCGAGUGGAAUUCCUGGUGUAGCGGUGAAAUGCGCAGAUAUCAGGAGGAACACCGGUGGCGAAGGCGGGUCUCUGGGAAGUAACUGACGCUGAGAAGCGAAAGCAUGGGUAGCAAACAGG